UUUAAACAGCUUUAUUGAGACACAAUCACAUACCAUGUAAUCCACCCAUUUAAAAGUAUAUAAUUCAAUAAUCUUAGGUGUAUUACAUUAAUUUUAAAACAUUGUGGUAAAAAAUAUAUAACAUCAAAUUUGCCCUUUUAACCAUUUUCAAGUGUGUAAUUCAGUGGCAUUAAUCAGAGUUGUGUUUUGAGCAUGUUUUAGAAACAUCAGCAUUUCAUGGACCCUCUUUGGGCGCAUCAGGACACAGUGUAUGUUAUUAUUUAUUUUCCUUAAUCCAGAGAAACAAAGGCCACCCAUAUUCCUUCUGUGCUGAGGGAUUUCCCUGCAGCCAUCUUUCAGUGGUCACGAUGAUGCCACAGGCAGGCACUAAUCAUAGUCCCAUUCUCCGGAUGGGGAAAGUGACUUGCCUAAGGUCACACGACAGGUCAGUGCCAAAUCCAGGAUUCAAAGCCGACUGCCUGACGCCAAGCCGGGGCAGUGGCCCAUCAGACGACACGGCCUGUGUGUGCGGCACCGACCUAGGUUUUCGCAAAGCCUCUGGGCGGCCCUUCCCUGACUCUUCUCAACUGCCCCGGGUGGGGGUGGGGGUGGGUAUUGUUCUGCUCUUGGGAAACUGAGACAUGGGGGCUAAAUGAAUUUAGAGGAAGUCGGGUUUUUAGUUGCAAAACAAGAGAAUCCACUCUAGGUAAAUUGGAGCAGGGAAGAAAUGAAAAGAUAUUAAGAGGCCCCCAGAUCUCUGGGAGGGAGGCCAGAGAGACUGGCUUGGAGACCACACAGCCACGAACGAUGUCCAGAUUCCAUUGCAGGACCUUUGUGUCACUGCCACCAGGCCCAGACACUGCAACUCUCACUAGUGACACAGGGCAGGUCCUUUCAGCCUCCUCGCUAGAUUGGAUCCCAUGCAUCAGAAUCCGCUUCCAUUGCUUCCACAUGUGGGUGUAUCUGGAUUGGCUAAGCCUAGGUUCCACGUGGGUGUAUUUGACUAGGUCUAACUACCAUUUGGAUGUAUCUGAUUGGCUGAGCCUGGGUCCCAUCUGAGUAUAUCUCACUGGUUGAGCCCAGUUCACAUGCUUGCAUUCUAACUGCAAGGGAGGCUGGGAACGUGAGAUGCAGCUGCUUCUGGUGCCAGGUCCCAAGGAGAUGUGUCAAUUUCAGCCUGCAAGAGCAAUGCACAAAGGGCCCCACAGCUCCACCAGAACUAAUUUCAAAUUCAACCACACCCUCUGGACCAGAGAUGUCCAUCCGCAGUGACGGAAUGCUCCAGUGGGGACUGGAUCAUCUCUAGGUUUGCUGCAUCUCUAGUUUGCAUCCUGAGACUUCCCUUUGUUGCAUUUCUGGGUAAGAUCCACUGUUUCCUGGGCCCCAAGUCUCUCUUUUUCUUGGACUUCUUCCUUGUUUUGCUUAAAUACACCCUUAAGUUAUUUUUUCUGAAAGGAUGCAUGGAAAGUAAUCUUGAAUUCUUGCAUAUCUGAUGAUGUCUUUACUUUGCUCUAGGGUAUGUCUGGGUACAGAAUUCAAAUUGGAAAAUAAUGGCCUCUAGAUUUUUGAAAGACUUCCUCUGCUGUCUCAUAGUGUCCAGCGUGACUGAUGAGAAGUCUGGUGUUGCACUGAUCCUCAGUCCUUUAUAAGUUUUGCCUUUUUUUCUCUCUAGGAUUUAAAAAUUUUUUCCCCUUUAUAUCAUUAAAUAUAUGUAUAACAUCAAAGGUGUGGUCUUUUUUCAUUCAUACUGUUCAGCACUUAAUAAGCAUUUUUAAUCAUAUUUCUUUAAAUCGUUUCCUCCUGCCUUUCCAUUGUUCUCUCUUUCUAGAAUUCCCAGUAGUCAGAUUCAAUCUUUUGGAAUGUCAUUGCUUAUCCUUAAAAAAUAUAUAUUUUCUAUAAUUUUAUCUAUUUGAUCUAUGUUCUGGGAGAUUUUCUAAACUUUCUUUCCCAAACCUUUCAUUAAACUUUUGAUUCUGUCACUUAAGAAUUUCCAAUAACUCCUUCUUUGUCUUUGAACAUUCCUUCCUCAACAACUUCUACUUAUUUAUGGACUCAAGAUCACCUUGACUCUGUAUAAGGAAACCAAUCAGUAUUUUUUCACAUUCUUUUCUGCU